rnacentral:lncRNA from 1 species
CCAUCCUCCUUCCUUAUCAUUCCGCUGUUUUCAACUAAAUUCUAUACCAAAGUUGCCCAGCCAUAAGUAGAGAAGGAGAUGUUGCUAUGUCAAUGGCCCCAAGGAGUAUUCGAAGGAGGCCAUGCUGGAAUCCUUUAAUAUAACACACUGUUUGAAUGAUAUUUUCAGGUCUACUGAUUAACUACACUUUCAUUCUGCUGCUCUUCAAAAAUCCUCAAGCAUCAAUCAGUAGCAAGCCCUUAGCAAUACUAAGGGAAAAUUUUUGUUCACUCAGAACAAUGCGGGCAAGGCCAAGAUAUUUGAAUGACAAGUGCAAAGGAUGAAAAACCCACUCAAGAGAGAAAGCAAACAUUUCUAGGAUAACAUUCUAACCCCCCUUUUUAUUCAAAUAAAC